CAGGCUAAAGCUUAAAGCGUUUUAGUUACAUUAAAGAGUUUAUUGUAAAUCAAUAUAGUUUGA
rnacentral:tRNA from 1 species